rnacentral:rRNA from 1 species
UGGGCGUAAGCGCACGCAGGCGGUUUGUUAAGUCAGAUGUGAAAUCCCCGGGCUCAACCUGGGAACUGCAUCUGAUACUGGCAAGCUUGAGUCUCGUAGAGGGGGGUAGAAUUCCAGGUGUAGCGGUGAAAUGCGUAGAGAUCUGGAGGAAUACCGGUGGCGAAGGCGGCCCCCUGGACGAAGACUGACGCUCAGGUGCGAAAGCGUGGGGAGCAAACAGGAUUAGAUACCC